rnacentral:rRNA from 1 species
AAAGCGUGCGCAGGCGGUUUUGUAAGUCUGUCGUGAAAGCCCCGGGCUUAACCUGGGAAUUGCGAUGGAGACUGCAAGGCUUGAAUCUGGCAGAGGGGGGUAGAAUUCCACGUGUAGCAGUGAAAUGCGUAGAGAUGUGGAGGAACACCGAUGGCGAAGGCAGCCCCCUGGGUCAAGAUUGACGCUCAUGCACGAAAGCGUGGGGAGCAAACAGGAUUAGAUACCCUGGU